AUGGCUAUAGGUUAAUGGUAGACUGGUCGUUUUCCAAGCGAUGGGUGCCGAUUCAAAUUCGGCUGGCCGUA
rnacentral:tRNA from 3 species